rnacentral:lncRNA from 1 species
AAUACUCCGGCCAGCUAUCUUUCGUUAGUCUCGAUUCAGCAAGCUCCACUGCACGUCGUGCAAUCUGCGGACGCCCUGUCUUGAUGCAUGCAGCUGUCAGCAGCCACAGCAGUACUGCAUGCUCCCAAAAUAACAGCCACAGAGAUUAGUAACUUUCAGCUUCACAAUUCCUAUAUACUUGCGUAAAUAUGUAAUUGAACGAUCAUAUUUCUUACCUGGCCAGGAUCCUCCAUUGUGGUAACUCCACCUUGUGUUCUUCGGAUCACAGCCAGUUACUAUCCUCCAUUCAUGGUUUUCUAUAGCUGGGUAGCAGACUUUGAGGGGCAUCUCACCGACCAACUCCUCCCAUCGUGAUUC